GGNNNNCGGNUAACUCCAACCCAUGUGACCAUACCAAACUGUUGCCUCGGCGGGGUCACGCCCCGGGUGCGUCGCAGCCCCGGAACCAGGCGCCCGCCGGAGGGACCAACCAAACUCUUUUCUGUAGUCCCCUCGCGGACGUUAUUUCUUACAGCUCUGAGCAAAAAUUCAAAAUGAAUCAAAACUUUCAACAACGGAUCUCUUGGUUCUGGCAUCGAUGAAGAACGCAGCGAAAUGCGAUAAGUAAUGUGAAUUGCAGAAUUCAGUGAAUCAUCGAAUCUUUGAACGCACAUUGCGCCCGCCAGUAUUCUGGCGGGCAUGCCUGUCCGAGCGUCAUUUCAACCCUCGAACCCCUCCGGGGGGUCGGCGUUGGGGACCUCGGGAGCCCCUAAGACGGGAUCCCGGCCCCGAAAUACAGUGGCGGUCUCGCCGCAGCCUCUCCUGCGCAGUAGUUUGCACAACUCGCACCGGGAGCGCGGCGCGUCCACGUCCGUAAAACACCCAACUUCUGAAAUGUUGACCUCGGAUCAGGUAGGAAUACCCGCUGAACUUAAGCAUAUCAAUAAGCCGGAGGAA
rnacentral:rRNA from 1 species